rnacentral:rRNA from 1 species
AGGACGAACGCUGGCGGCGUGCUUAACACAUGCAAGUCGAACGGUGAAGCCCUUCGGGGUGGAUCAGUGGCGAACGGGUGAGUAACACGUGAGCAAUCUGCCCUUGACUCUGGGAUAACUUCGGGAAACCGGAGCUAAUACCGGAUAUGACACGCGAUCGCAUGGUCUGUGUGUGGAAAGAUUUAUCGGUCAGGGAUGAGCUCGCGGCCUAUCAGCUUGUUGGUGGGGUAAUGGCCUACCAAGGCGACGACGGGUA